rnacentral:rRNA from 1 species
AGUGAACGCUGGCGGUAGGCCUAACACAUGCAAGUCGAACGGCAGCACAGUAAGAGCUUGCUCUUACGGGUGGCGAGUGGCGGACGGGUGAGGAAUACAUCGGAAUCUACUUUUUCGUGGGGGAUAACGUAGGGAAACUUACGCUAAUACCGCAUACGACCUACGGGUGAAAGCAGGGGAUCUUCGGACCUUGCGCGAUUGAAUGAGCCGAUGUCGGAUUAGCUAGUUGGCGGGGUAAAGGCCCACCAAGGCGACGAUCCGUAGCUGGUCUGAGAGGAUGAUCAGCCACACUGGAACUGAGACACGGUCCAGACUCCUACGGGGGGCAGCAGUGGGGAAUAUUGGACAAUGGGCGCAAGCCUGAUCCAGCCAUACCGCGUGGGUGAAGAAGGCCUUCGGGUUGUAAAGCCCUUUUGUUGGGAAAGAAAAGCAGCAGGUUAAUACCCCGCUGUUCUGACGGUACCCAAAGAAUAAGCACCGGCUAACUUCGG